UUGAAAUGCCAUGUCACCAGAGUGAAUUCUCCCUUAUUUUUAUUCACAUCCGCCAUCGCCUUCUUCUCUCUGAUUUUCUCUCCAACACCCACCUCUUGAAAUUCAAUUUUUGGAUAGAAAAUAGUGGAAAUUUUUCUUAACUACCUGUGAUACAAUGACGGUUUCUUCUGGUGAAAACUCUACUGAUAGGUUUAGAAAUGAAAGUACUGGAUCAGGAGAGAAAGGAUGAGAAGGAGAAUUGCGGACAUAAGAAAAUAAUGUCUUCCUGUUUGGCUCUGAAGAUUUGCUUGGAGGAGAAAAGGGUGACUACUCUAAAAGUGAGCCACAGUUAGAAGCAUUUUGGUCUUCUUCAGAGUUUCCUUGUAAAUUAUAGACAAUUGUUAGGCCUGGUGCCACAUGUGAUGUUUAAAAAGUUGUUGACUAGUUGAAUGGAACCCAUCUUUAGGCAUGCUUUUUACUGAAUAAAAUAUAUGUUUGAAUAAUAA